AGACAUGAAGGUCAGUCAAUCUGGAAAAUUUUCUUCAAGUGCAGUCUCAAAAACCAUCAAGCGUUAUGAUGAAACUGGUUCUCAUGAGGACCGCCACAAGAAAGGAAGACCCAGAGUUGCCUCUGCUGCAGAGGAUACGUUCAUUAGAGUUACUAGCCUCAGAUUGCAGUCCAAAUAAAUGCUUCACAGAGUUCAAGUAACAGACACAUCUUAACAACAACUGUUCAGAGGAGACUGUGUGAAUCAGGCCUUCAUGGUACAAUUGCUGCAACGAAACCACGACUAAAGGACACCAAUAAGAAGAAGAGACUUGCUUGGGCCAAGAAACAUGAGCAAUGGAAAUCUGUCCUUUGGUCUGAUGAGUCCAAAUUUGCGAUUUUGGGUUCCAACCACCGUGUCUUUGUAAGACACAGAGUAGAUUAAUGGAUGAUCUCCGCUGACAGGUACCAUGAAAGAACCAACUACACCAAAGGAAACUUUCAACGCAGCCAUCAGCAGAAUAGAGAGGAUGUUUUUAAAGCCAUGAACAGAGGUGUGGAUCUGAUCAUCGUUGACAACACAAACAUUUCUCUUUGGGAGAUGUGGCCCUAUAUCCACAUGGGGAUUGGACAGAAGAACUAUUACAUCAGAAUGGUGGAACUGCCUAAAAUCUCCAUCAACAAGCUGUACAGACGGUGUCGUGGUAAAAUCCCCAAACGUAAGUUCAGGUCCUUUGAGGUUCGCUGGAAAAAAGCUGACAGCAUCUGGCAUGUACUUAACGACGGCUACUCCAAAAAACGCUGGAAGAGAAGCAAAGAGGAAUGGAACGUCCAGUGAUGAAGACAUGCUGGUCUUCUCCCCACCCCAAAGUCUCCAAAAUACGGAACAAAUUCACCGGGGUGGCAGGGUAGCCUAGUGGUUAGAGCGUUGGACUAGUAACCGGAAGGUUGCAAGUUCAAACCCCCGAGCUUAACAGGCAGUUAACCCACUGUUCCUAGGCCGUCAUUGAAAAUAAGAAUGUGUUCUUAACUGACUUGCCUAGUUAAAUAAAGGUAAAAUAAAAAAAGAAAACGUACAGUAUUAUUAUAGAGCCCUUAUUGCAUGGAACUUCCUUCCAUCUCAUAUUGCUCAAAUAAACAGCAAACCUGGUUUCAAAAAACAGUUAAAGCAACACUUCUCGGCACAACGCCGAGAGGUAUUUGACCUAGAUAGUUUGUGUGUAUGCAUUGAUAUGUAGGCCACGUGUGCCUUUAAAAAAAAUGUCUGUCCUUGAGCUGUUCUUGUCUAAUGAUGUUCUGUAUUAUGUAAUUCUGUAUUAUGUCAUUCUAUAUGAUGUCAUUCUGUAUGAUGUCAUUCUGUAUUAUGUCAUUCUAUAUUAUGUCAUUCUGUAU
rnacentral:lncRNA from 13 species